rnacentral:tRNA from 1 species
GGGGCCAUAGCUCAGCUGGUAGAGUACCUGCAUGGCAUGCAGGGGGUCAGGGGUUCAAAUCCCCUUGGCUCCA